CGACCUUGUCGGAAGGCCUAACCAUGCAAGUCGAGCGGAUGAAGGGAGCUUGCUCCUGGAUUCAGCGGCGGACGGGUGAGUAAUGCCUAGGAAUCUGCCUGGUAGUGGGGGAUAACGUCCGGAAACGGGCGCUAAUACCGCAUACGUCCUGAGGGAGAAAGUGGGGGAUCUUCGGACCUCACGCUAUCAGAUGAGCCUAGGUCGGAUUAGCUAGUUGGUGGGGUAAAGGCCUACCAAGGCGACGAUCCGUAACUGGUCUGAGAGGAUGAUCAGUCACACUGGAACUGAGACACGGUCCAGACUCCUACGGGAGGCAGCAGUGGGGAAUAUUGGACAAUGGGCGAAAGCCUGAUCCAGCCAUGCCGCGUGUGUGAAGAAGGUCUUCGGAUUGUAAAGCACUUUAAGUUGGGAGGAAGGGCAGUAAGUUAAUACCUUGCUGUUUUGACGUUACCAACAGAAUAAGCACCGGCUAACUUCGUGCCAGCAGCCGCGGUAAUACGAAGGGUGCAAGCGUUAAUCGGAAUUACUGGGCGUAAAGCGCGCGUAGGUGGUUCAGCAAGUUGGAUGUGAAAUCCCCGGGCUCAACCUGGGAACUGCAUCCAAAACUACUGAGCUAGAGUACGGUAGAGGGUGGUGGAAUUUCCUGUGUAGCGGUGAAAUGCGUAAAUAUAGGAAGGAACACCAGUGGCAAGGCGACCACCUGGACUGAUACUGA
rnacentral:rRNA from 1 species